rnacentral:rRNA from 1 species
GACGGGACCCGCACAAGCGGUGGAUGAUGUGGAUUAAUUCGAUGCAACGCGAAAAACCUUACCUACCCUUGACAUGUCUGGAAGGCCGAAGAGAUUUGGCUGUGCUCGCAAGAGAACCGGAACACAGGUGCUGCAUGGCUGUCGUCAGCUCGUGUCGUGAGAUGUUGGGUUAAGUCCCGCAACGAGCGCAACCCUUGUCAUUAGUUGCUACGAAAGGGCACUCUAAUGAGACUGCCGGUGACAAACCGGAGGAAGGUGGGGAUGACGUCAAGUCCUCAUGGCCCUUAUGGGUAGGGCUUCACACGUCAUACAAUGGUCGGGACAGAGGGUCGCCAACCCGCGAGGGGGAGCCAAUCCCAGAAACCCGAUCGUAGUCCGGAUUGCAGUCUGCAACUCGACUGCGUGAAGUCGGAAUCGCUAGUAAUCGCGGAUCAGCAAAGCCGCGGUGAAUACGUUCCCGGGCCUU